ACUGGCUGUCGUCAGCUCGUGUCGUGAGAUGUUGGGUUAAGUCCCGUAACGAGCGCAACCCUUGUCCUUAGUUACCAGCACGUUAUGGUGGGCACUCUAAGGAGACUGCCGGUGACAAACCGGAGGAAGGUGGGGAUGACGUCAAGUCAUCAUGGCCCUUACGGCCUGGGCUACACACGUGCUACAAUGGUCGGUACAAAGGGUUGCCAAGCCGCGAGGUGGAGCUAAUCCCAUAAAACCGAUCGUAGUCCGGAUCGCAGUCUGUAACUCGACUGCGUGAAGUCGGAAUCGCUAGUAAUCGUGAAUCACGAAUGUCACGGUGAAUACGUUCCCGGGUCUU
rnacentral:rRNA from 1 species